rnacentral:rRNA from 1 species
GCCAGACUCCUACGGGAGGCAGCAGUGGGGAAUAUUGGGCAAUGGGCGCAAGCCUGACCCAGCAACGCCGCGUGAAGGAAGAAGGCUUUCGGGUUGUAAACUUCUUUUAAGAGGGACGAAACAAAUGACGGUACCUGACUAAGAAGCCCCGGCUAACUACGUGCCAGCAGCCGCGGUAAUACGUAGGGGGCAAGCGUUAUCCGGAUUUACUGGGUAUAAAGGGAGCGUAGACGGAAUUGCAAGUCUGAUGUGAAAAUCCGGGGCCCAACCCCGGAACUGCAUUGGAAACUGUAUUUCUAGAGUGUCGGAGAGGCAAGUGGAAUUCCUGGUGUAGCGGUGAAAUGCGUAGAUAUCAGGAGGAACACCAGUGGCGAAGGCGGCUUGCUGGACGAUGACUGACGUUGAGGCUCGAAAGCGUGGGGAGCAAACAGGAUUAGAUACCCGGGUAUGC